UACAGAUGGUGCAACCGUUGCUCGGAAUCAUUGGGCGUAAAGCGCACGUAGGCGGCCCAGCAAGCGGGGAGUGAAAGCCCUCGGCUUAACCGAGGAAGUGCUUUCCGAACUACUGGGCUUGAAUACUGGAGAGGGUCGCGGAAUUCCCGGUGUAGAGGUGAAAUUCGUAGAUAUCGGGAGGAACACCAGUGGCGAAGGCGGCGACCUGGACAGAUAUUGACGCUGAGGUGCGAAAGCGUGGGGAGCAAACAGG
rnacentral:rRNA from 1 species